CGACUCUUGCCACCGCUGGCUCAGCAUGUUCAAUUUAUGUUUAUUUGAAAGCUGUUGCACUUGACUAAUGUUCCAUGGCGGGACAUCCUCUUCGAGUCCUGGUGCUGACCAGCGUCGUGGCGUGUGGUUGGAGUGGGCUCUCGCCUGUUGCUGGAUUCCACACGGAGGCUAACCCCUUGAACAGUAGUUUCUGUGGAAUCUUAGGGCAAAUACACACAUUACUUACCCAAGGAGUAUGUUCUGCCCUCUGGGAUGAGUCAAUCGAUACGUCGUGGAUUUGGAGCACCAUCCAAACUAAAUUUGAUUGUAAUCGACGGCGCAUUUGAUUUAUUAGUUUUCCCAUUAAACAAAUUGCCGAACAAUGCAGGCCAAGAACAGUACAUCGACUAUACUUACGCUUAUUCAUGUAGAUUGAUGGUCAUUUCAUUCGUGUAAACACAUCCAUUGACGCAAAUUUGAAUAAACAUUUUCAUUAGCAAAAUGUCCAUGAGCCCCCGGAGACAGCCAUUGCCUGAUGGCCGAUGUCCAGAUAUCCAUCCUGGCCAGACAAUCACUUGGCUUCAAUUGGUUUUUGACUUUGGCAUUUGAAUUUUGGCCUUCAGUAUUCAGUAUUUCCAUACGAUACCGCCCACAGUGAAACUUCCUAGCCAGGCCCAACUAGUAAUUGGCCAUAAUCAUUCGGUAAUGAUCUGGUGGCGGCUCUAAUUGCGGUGUUCCAUUAGGAGUGGCUAAAGGGCAGCGGCCAUUGAACUUUGGCGCCGCUCGUUUCGUGAAAUAUUGGGAAACGAAAUUUGCACGUGAUAUCGCUGAAAUCGAUAGUUAUUUACACCAUUACACUACACUAAUUUAUGACGUAGUGUCUGAGUUGAUUUUCGUCGUUUUACAAUACUGGGGACUCUAGCCUCAAAAAGAAAAUGCAAAAGCUUAAUAAACAAAUAAUUAUAGAUGUACUAAAUCUUGUGUUCACCCUGGACGUCUCUCUUCCGGACGUAUUUUUGUUGAAAAUUUUGAUAUAUGUACAGCGCCCACGCCGGACGAUCCGCCACCUAAUUAUGAUGUGAGGGACCGCUUGGCCUAUAGGAAACUAGUUUGGCCCACCCAGACGUUUGAGCCGGAGGAUCUGCAGCCUCGGAACGAUUGAUUAGCAGCUUGGGCAGUAUUAUACAUAUGUGGGAGAUAUCGUGGAUGUCCGCAAGCUGCCACGUGAUAUAAUGGAAUUGGACCACGAUCCCUCAACGUAUGGGAGCAUCGUCGACGGAGCCUCCAACAACCGAUCAGCCGAUGACCUAGAGCUACCUGAGAUCAUGGACUUAAUGGGAGUGGGAAAUCAAUCAAGAAAUCGAGCGGCAACUUUGCUGGGACGGAUGCAAUCACAUCUUCUCGUUGAAAAGUCUCUGGUCAAUGGAGGUGUUCACGCUGCACCAAAAGGCCAAAUAAAUAAUAACCCUUGAAA